GAUGAACGCUAGCUACAGGCUUAACACAUGCAAGUCGAGGGGAAACGGCAUCGAAAGCUUGCUUUUGAUGGGCGUCGACCGGCGCACGGGUGAGUAACGCGUAUCCAACCUGCCCAUCACUUGGGAAUAACCUUGCGAAAGUAAGACUAAUGCCCAAUGACAUCCCACGAAGGCAUCCGAAUGGGAUUAAAGAUUUAUCGGUGAUGGAUGGGGAUGCGUCCGAUUAGCUUGUUGGCGGGGUGACGGCCCACCAAGGCAACGAUCAGUAGGGGUUCUGAGAGGAAGGUCCCCCACAUUGGAACUGAGACACGGUCCAAACUCCUACGGGAGGCAGCAGUGAGGAAUAUUGGUCAAUGGGCGAGAGCCUGAACCAGCCAAGUAGCGUGCAGGAUGACGGCCCUAUGGGUUGUAAACUGCUUUUAUAAGGGAAUAAAGUGGGUCACGUGUGACUUUUUGCAUGUACCUGAUGAAUAAGGACCGGCUAAUUCCGUG
rnacentral:rRNA from 1 species